rnacentral:rRNA from 1 species
UACAGCGGGGGCAAGCGUUGUUCGGAAUUACUGGGCGUAAAGGGCGCGUAGGCGGCCUUCUAAGUCGAACGUGAAAUCCCCGGGCUCAACCCGGGAACUGCGUCCGAUACUGGAAGGCUUGAAUCCGGGAGAGGGAUGCGGAAUUCCAGGUGUAGCGGUGAAAUGCGUAGAUAUCUGGAGGAACACCGGUGGCGAAGGCGGCAUCCUGGACCGGUAUUGACGCUGAGGCGCGAAAGCUAGGGGAGCAAACAGG